rnacentral:tRNA from 1 species
GAUUAAGUAACAUAACGGUAAUGUAUAAGAUUGCAAAUCUUGAAAAGGUAGUUCGAUUCUACUCUUAAUCU